rfam:Aedes aegypti strain Liverpool supercont1.475 genomic scaffold, whole genome shotgun sequence.
UGCCCAGCAACUCCUAUCCCUACCUCCUCGUGGUACUGGCCGGGGUACGAGUAACCUUGGGAAAGAUCGGGUAACCAACCCCCGGUGGGAACUUUGGUCGUAUGCUGACAGGGAAGG